UCGAAGUCCAGUGGCAAGACAAAAGUCAAGGCGACUAGCCAUGGCCCAGGAUGCAGGAUUGUUCUCAUCCUAUCAUUCCUCCAGUUGAGCAAACAUUUAUCCCGUACCUAAAGACAUCCAAGACAAUGUGCCAGGAGCUGGAGUUCCAGAGGCCAAAACGGAAAAGCAGGUGCUGUUAUGAUGCCUGCAGCCUCCUGGGAAAAGAAAAUGUGCACAGAUAAGUCAAUAUAAAGAGCUGAUACUUCCGAGAGUGAAUACAUCAGAAAAAUGGGGGAGAGGACAACAUUCACAAGGCAAUAACGUAGAAAUUGUUUCAAAGACAAAACUAAAAAUAGGUACUUUAGAAGAUUUGAUUCCAUGAGAAACACAGAAACGUAAAAAAAGAACAAAUAAAGAUGA